rnacentral:ncRNA from 2 species
GGCUGUUCCGAGGGGAGCUCCGGUCAAGGAGCUGAGAGACCCGCCGAUCGAUACCGCGGGGACCCUUUGAACCUGAUCCGGGUCAUGCCGGCGAAGGGACAGGACAUGCCAACGGU